rnacentral:rRNA from 1 species
CAGCAGCCGCGGGAAUACGAGGGGGGCAAGCGUUGUUCGGAAUUAUUGGGCGUAAAGGGUGCGUAGGCGGUUAUAUAAGACAGAUGUGAAAUCCCCGGGCUCAACCUGGGACCUGCAUUUGUGACUGUAUAGCUAGAGUACGGUAGAGGGGGAUGGAAUUCCGCGUGUAGCAGUGAAAUGCGUAGAUAUGCGGAGGAACACCGAUGGCGAAGGCAAUCCCCUGGACCUGUACUGACGCUCAUGCACGAAAGCGUGGGGAGCAAACAGGAUUAGAUACCCCAGUAGUCCCUGUCUCUUAUAC